rnacentral:rRNA from 1 species
AAGCGUUAGCUGCGCCACUGAAAGAAAUAGUCUCCCAACAGCUAGUUGACAUCGUUUACGGCGUGGACUACCAGGGUAUCUAAUCCUGUUCGCUACCCACGCUUUCGCACCUCAGUGUCAGUACAGAUCCAGGAGGCCGCCUUCGCCACUGGUAUUCUUCAUAAUAUCUACGCAUUCCACCGCUACACUAUGAAUUCUACCUCCCUCUAUCGUACUCUAGUGAGUUAGUUUUGGAUGCAGUUCCUAGGUUGAGCCCAGGGCUUUCACAUCCAACUUAACAAACCACCUACGCGCGCUUUACGCCCAGUAAUUCCGAUUAACGCUUGCACCUUCCGUAUUACCGCGGCUGCUGGCACGGAAUUAGCCGGUGCUUAUUCUGCAGGUAACAUCAGGGUUAUAAGGUAUUAACUUAUAACUUUUUCUCCCUGCUUAAAGUGCUUUACAACCCGAAGGCCUUC